rnacentral:rRNA from 1 species
GAAGCAGUGAUGUGAAGCGAAACUCAAAAAAGUAAGUCUCAGUUCGGAUUGAAGGCUGAAAUUCGCCUUCAUGAAGCCGGAAUUGCUAGUAAUGGCAGGUCAGCAUACUGCCGUGAAUACGUUCCCGGGCCUUGUACACACCGCCCGUCACACCAUGGGAGCCGGUAAUACCCGAAGUCAGUAGUCUAACCGCAAGGGGGGACGCUGCCGAAGGUAGGAUUGGCGACUGGGGUGAAGUCGUAACAAGGUAAC